UGGAGAUCUAAUUGUUGCUGAAGACGGUGCAACCAUUCAAGCACAAAAGAAAAUCAAAACAACAGAAGAGUGGCUGAACAUGGAUACGGAUAGGCCCACGGUGUCAAGACAUGCAGAGGUAGACACCGAAAUAUUAGAUCAACUAGAAAAACACAAAGAAGAGUCGCUGAACAUGGAUACGGAUAGGCCCAUGGUGUCAAGACAUGCAGAGGUAGACACUGGAGUAUUAGAUCAAUUAGAAAAGAGCAGCAUUGUACAAGCAACCAACAAGCAAACUUUGUGGGCUAUAAACUGCUUUAAGGACUGGCUGGCAGAGAAACAGAUGAUAGUGGAUUUUUCAACCAUUGAGAAAUCUGAAAUGAAUGUCCUCUUGCGAGAUUUUUACUGUUCUGUUCGAAGGGGUAAAGGUGGGGAGUAUUGCAUCCCAAGUUAUAUCGGAAUCCGGGCUGGCAUGAACAGAUUCAUUAACCUCCCUCCCCUUAGCAGAUCCUGGUGCUUGAUGAAGGACAGUGAGUUUACCUCCUCCAAUAAUGUAUUUCUUGGGGUACUAAAGAAACUCAGAC